GACGAACGCUGGCGGCGUGCUUAACACAUGCAAGUCGAACGGAAAGGUCCUGCUUUUGUGGGUUGCUCGAUUGGCGAACGCGUGAGUAACACGUGUGUAACCUCUCCCUGUCUUUGGGAUAACUUCAGGAGACUGGGGCGAAUACCGGAUAGGAUCUCUUGCUGCAUGGUGGGGGUUGGAGAGUUUCGGCGGUUGUGGAUGGACUCGCGGCUUAUGCGCUUCUUUGUGGGGUAGUUGCUUACCAAGGGUUUGACGGGUAGCCGGCAUGAGAGGGUGACCGGGCACAUGGGGACUGAGAGACGGACCAGAAUGGUACGGGAGGCAGCAGUGGAGAGUAUUGCGGAAUGGGCGGAAGCCUGAGACAGAAACGUCGGGAGCGGGAUGACGGCCUUCGGGUUGUAAACAGAUGUGGCAGGUGACGAGGAGUGAGUGACGGUAAUGGGUAAAGAAGCAACGGCUAACUACGUG
rnacentral:rRNA from 1 species